GACGAACGCUGGCGGCGUGCCUAAUACAUGCAAGUCGAACGCAGUGGGGACGGGUGAGUAACACGUGGUUAACCUCCCAUCAGAGGGGAUAACACUUGGUAACAGGUGCUAAACCGAUACUGAUGGAUGGAACCGCGGUGCAUUAGCUAGAUGGGGGGGUAACGGCUCACCAAGGCAACGAUGCAUAGCUGACCUGAGAGGUUGAUCGGCCACACAGGGACUGAGACACGGCCCAGACUCCUACGGGAGGCAGCAGUAGGGAAUCUUCGGCAAUGGACGAAAGUCUGACCGAGCAACGCCGCGUGAGUGAAGAAGGUUUUCGGUUCGUAAGACUCUGUUGUUAGAGAAGCGGUAUCUAACCAGAAAGCCACGGCUAACUACGUGCCAGCAGCCGCGGUAAUAC
rnacentral:rRNA from 1 species